rnacentral:lncRNA from 1 species
AAUGGGGGAGCGGCCUUUUUAUAGGCGGAGUAAUGGGCCGUGCCCAUGGAUCACGGCGAGAUCCUCGGAAGGAUGAGUAUGGAAAGAUAUCUCGGAGAUAUAGGAGACAUAAUUGGGGAGACUGCCAUCUGGAGGGUAUCCCGUAAUUGUUGGUGUCGUGAUGGAGAAAAUCUCGCAAUGGAUAGUUUCCAAGUAUAGAUAGGAUUCUG